GAUGAACGCUGGCGGCGUGCCUAAUACAUGCAAGUCGAACGAACAGAUGAGGAGCUUGCUCCUCUGACGUUAGCGGCGGACGGGUGAGUAACACGUGGAUAACCUACCUAUAAGCCUGGGAUAACUUCGGGAAACCGGAGCUAAUACCGGAUAAUAUAAUGAACCGCAUGGUUCAAUAGUGAAAGACGGUUUUGCUGUCACUUAUAGAUGGAUCCGCGCCGCAUUAGCUAGUUGGUAAGGUAACGGCUUACCAAGGCAACGAUGCAUAGCCGACCUGAGAGGGUGAUCGGCCACACUGGAACUGAGACACGGCCCAGACUCCUACGGGAGGCAGCAGUAGGGAAUCUUCCGCAAUGGGCGAAAGCCUGACGGAGCAACGCCGCGUGAGUGAUGAAGGUCUUCGGGUCGUAAAGCUCUGUUGUUAGGGAAGAACAUGUGUGAGAGUAACUGUGCACCUCUUGACGGUACCUAAUCAGAAAGCCACGGCUAACUACGUG
rnacentral:rRNA from 1 species